rnacentral:rRNA from 1 species
GAGUUUGAUCUUGGCUCAGAUUGAACGCUGGCGGCAUGCCUUACACAUGCAAGUCGAACGGCAGCACGGGAGCUUGCUCCUGGUGGCGAGUGGCGAACGGGUGAGUAAUGCAUCGGAACGUAUCCUGGAGUGGGGGAUAACGUAGCGAAAGUUACGCUAAUACCGCAUAUUCUGUGAGCAGGAAAGCGGGGGACCUUCGGGCCUCGCGCUCUUGGAGCGGCCGAUGUCGGAUUAGCUAGUUGGUGAGGUAAAGGCUCACCGAGGCGACGAUCCGUAGCAGGUCUGAGAGGAUGAUCUGCCACACUGGAACUGAGACACGGUCCAGACUCCUACGGGAGGCAGCAGUGGGAAUUUUGGACAAUGGGGGCAACCCUGAUCAGCCAUGCCGCGUGAGUGAAGAAGGCCUCGGUUGUAAGUACUCGUUCGUCGAGGGAAGAAAG